AGUGAACGCUGGCGGCAUGCCUAACACAUGCAAGUCGAACGGCAGCACAGUAAGUUCUUGCUCUUACCGGUUGCCAGACGCGUGCGUGUGACGUAUACACCUGUCCCUUCUUUUUCGUGGGGCCUAAGGAAGCGAAAUUUACGCCACUACCGCAUACCACCUACGGGUGAAAGCAGUGGAUCUUUGGCCCUUUCGCGUUUGAAUUAGCCGGUGUCGGAUUAGUUAGUUGGCGGGGUAAAGGCCCACCAAGGCGACGAUCCGUAGCUGGUCUGAGAGGAUGGUAAGCCACAAGGGAAGUGGGACACGGGCCAGGAUCCUAAGGGAAGGAGCAGUGGGGAAAAGUGGGCAAUGGGGGGAAGCCUGAUCCAGCCAUAGCGGGUGGGGGAAAGAAGCCUUCGGGUUGGAAAGCCCUUUUGUUGGGAAAAAAAAGCAGCAGGUUAAAACCCCGCGGGUGUGACGGUAACCGGAAAAUAAGCACCGGCUAACUUCGUG
rnacentral:rRNA from 1 species